AUGGUCAAGAAGAAAUCUUCAUGGAGCCAGGUUGUGAGUGGCAGGCCAACAAACCUCUUUGUUCCUGCAAGAAAUCUUCCACUGCAGGAUCUUGGAGCUGUAAUUUUCGGCUGCACAAACAAUACUAUUGCUGAGUGCCACUCACGCCAACUUUUUGGCUUGCCUAAAGCACAUCUCUCAUAUGUACACAACAUCAAGGAAGGGCUACCUCUAUUCCUGUUCAAUUAUGAUGAUCGCAGAUUGCAUGGUGUUUAUGAAGCUGCAAGCAAUGGCAAAUUCUGUCCCGAAUCAAAUGCAUGGACAAAUAAUGGCUACGAAAAGACAAGCUAUCCUGCUCAGGUUGCAAUGCGGAUAAGAAUGUGGUGUGUUCCACUAGAAGAGAGUAAAUUCAGGAAUGCUAUUAUAGGCAAUUAUUACCAGAAGACGCCCACUGUCUAUGGCCAGAAGCCUCACUUCUUCAGAUUUGAAUUGGAUCAUGCACAAACACGUGCUUUGAUGGCUAUGUUUACUCCUUCGCCUUCCCCCAUCAAGUUCUGGACGCCUCCUGUUUCACAACCAGGAGCUCAGCAUGUGAGCGAACCAACACCACCUCCUGUGUGGGUACAAAAAUUUGAGGGUAACAAUGAGCUCAAAGCAGAAAAGGUUUUAGUGUCAUAUGCAGAUGCGGUAAAACAAAGCAAGUUUGAGGUUGAGGGAGUUGGACUAAGAGAUGUGGAUGAUGGGUGGAACAAUGAGUGGAACAAUGAGCGAAACAACGAGCUCAAACCAGAAAAGGUUUUACCAGAAAAGGGUUUAGUGUCAUAUGCAGACAUGGUAAAGCAGAACAAGUUUGAGGUUGAGGGAGUUGGAAUGGCAGAUGUGGACAAUGGGCAUGCCAGCUCAAGCAAAGAAUCUUCCAAUGGUUUCGAUGAUCUCGAUUGCAAAGAGACACCACCAGAGUGGGAGGAUCAUGCACUGUUCAGUAAGGGAGUUGAAGUGCAACAGCAGCAACAAUCUGCCCAGCAGGAAAAUGAGCUUAGCUUCACAUUGGUAUUAGAGAAGCUUAAGGCUCUAUCAGUCCAGCAACUUAGUUCUGAAUUUUAUGCCAAUGGAGCUGGAACUGAAGGCAUUGAUGCAUAUGGAUGUAAGGACAUGCAAGAAGUUAAAGGUAUAUUUCUUGAGGGGCACUGUGGUUUGCCGGAGAACUUAGAUACCGAAGUCGAUCAGCUUGCCUGGGAGCAUUCCAGUUUGCUACUUCAAGGAUUGGACUAUGAAUCCUAUUCAGAAGCUAAGUUGAUAGAUAUGGUCAAAGGACUGUCCGAACGUAUAGAGACUAUGGAGAAGAAGCAGAUUAUUUCCAACAAAGAAGUCAAAUGCCUACAAGGAGUGAAUGACAGGUUGCUGAAAAGAGUUGUUGAGCUAAAGAACACAGUGAAGAAUUUGAAUUCCAAAAUAGAUCCUUUAUCUCUAGAUGAUUCACUAAAUCAGUUUGUUGAAGAAUGUUUGGGUUCAGAAGAUGUCAUUUAUCUCAUUGGUGGUUCCGAUGGCAUCUCAUUUUUGUCAUCAUUAGACUCCUUCUCACCCUCCUUGGACAUACUAACACCUCUGAAACCAAUGACUGCUGGGAAGUCCUAUACCUCUGCUGUCGCGUUAGAUGGCAAAAUAUUUGUUCUUGGUGGUGGUGAUGGUGCUUGCUGGUUUGAUACAGUUGACUGUUAUGACCGAAGACGUGAUGAUUGGACCCCAUGCCCAGCACUGACUCAUGGAAAGGGGAGCCUCGCUGGAGUUGGUUUGCAUGGCAAAAUUUAUGCAUUUGGCGGUGGAGAUGGCAUUGGCUGUUUCUCUGACAUGGAGGUGUUUGAUCCUGCUCAGGGAAAGUGGACAAAGAGUUACCCUAUGCUAGAAAAGAUCAGGAAAAUUACUAGUUAUGAACGAGAGUACUACACCGUAAAGAGAAAAAACUGUGGGGUUUACAGAAAAACUAGUUAUGAACGACGCUUUUCUCUAGCUGGUGCAGAACUUAAUGGUGUGAUUUAUGCAGUUGGCGGUUUCAAUGGCGUUCAGUAUCUGAGCUCUGCUGAGAGGCUUGAUCCUAGGGAGCCUAACUGGAAAAUGCUCCCAGCAAUGAGUACAGUAAGAGGUUGUCAUACAGUGGCAGUGCUUGAUGAGAAGAUAUAUGUAAUGGGUGGUUAUGAUGCUGAUGCUGGAGCAAUGGCAUCCACCGUUGAGUUGUACGAGCCAAGAAUGCCGUCAUGGGUGAUGGUGGAACCAAUGAACUACACCAGAGGGUACCACUCUUCAGCUGUGCUCGGUGGUUCGAUAUUCACUCUGGGUGGGGUCAAAGGUGAAGCAGAUACAAUCUUGGAUGUGGUGGAGCGCUACAAGGAAGGCUGUGGUUGGGUGAAUACAGGGAUGAAGUCAAUCGGCAGCAGAUGCUACUGCUCUGCCAUUGUUCUCUGA
rnacentral:rRNA from 1 species